rnacentral:rRNA from 1 species
GUAGGGGGCAAGCGUUGUCCGGAUUUAUUGGGCGUAAAGAGCGUGUAGGCGGCCAGGUAGGUCGGUUGUGAAAACUGGAGGCUUAACCUUCAGACGUCGACCGAAACCCCUUGGCUAGAGUCCGGAAGAGGAGAGUGGAAUUCCUGGUGUAGCGGUGAAAUGCGCAGAUAUCAGGAAGAACACCCGUGGCGAAGGCGGCUCUCUGGGACGGUACUGACGCUGAGACGCGAAAGCGUGGGGAGCGAACAGGAUUAGAUACCCUGGUAGUCCACGCCGUAAACGAUGAGUGCUAGGUGUGGGGGGUGUCGACUCCCUCCGUGCCGAAGCUAACGCAUUAAGCACUCCGCCUGGGGAGUACGGCCGCAAGGCUA